UACGUAGGGCGCAAGCGUUGUUCGGCAUUACUGGGCGUAAAGCGCACGUAGGCGGAUACUUAAGUUAGGGGUGAAAUCCCGGGGCUCAACCCCGGAACUGCCUUUAAUACUGGGUAUCUCGAGUUCGAGAGAGGUGAGUGGAAUUCCGAGUGUAGAGGUGAAAUUCGUAGAUAUUCGGAGGAACACCAGUGGCGAAGGCGGCUCACUGGCUCGAUACUGACGCUGAGGUGCGAAAGCGUGGGGAGCAAACAGG
rnacentral:rRNA from 1 species